CCACUGCUGAGGAGUCCCAUAAUAGGACGAAAUGGCCGUCCAGUGC
rnacentral:hammerhead_ribozyme from 1 species